GAUGAACGCUAGCUACAGGCUUAACACAUGCAAGUCGAGGGGCAUCAUUAUCGAAGCUUGCUUUGAUAGAUGGCGACCGGCGCACGGGUGAGUAACGCGUAUCCAACCUUCCCCUUAGUAGGGCACAGCCCGGCGAAAGUCGGAUUAAUACUCUAUGUUCUCCUUUGCAGGCAUCUAACGAGGAGCAAAGAUUCAUCGGUAAGGGAUGGGGAUGCGUCCGAUUAGGUAGUUGGCGGGGUAACGGCCCACCAAGCCCUCGAUCGGUAGGGGUUCUGAGAGGAAGGUCCCCCACAUUGGAACUGAGACACGGUCCAAACUCC
rnacentral:rRNA from 1 species